UACGAAGGGGGCUAGCGUUGCUCGGAAUCACUGGGCGUAAAGCGCACGUAGGCGGAUUGUUAAGUCAGGGGUGAAAGCCUGGAGCUCAACUCCAGAACUGCCCUUGAUACUGGCAAUCUCGAGUCCGGAAGAGGUAAGUGGAACUCCGAGUGUAGAGGUGAAAUUCGUAGAUAUUCGGAAGAACACCAGUGGCGGAGGCGGCUUACUGGUCCGGUACUGACGCUGAGGUGCGAAAGCGUGGGGAGCAAACAGG
rnacentral:rRNA from 1 species